AGCUUUGAGCCUCUUCUAAACACUGGGCAACAUUCCUAGAAUCAUGAUCAUGUGGACCUUUCUAACAAGAUUAAAAUUCUUGGGAAGACCUUGAACCCUCCUGAGAUUCUAGGAUGGGCCUAAAUCCCAUGGCCACUGUGAAGACCCUGAGCCCCUCUGGUAUCCUGAAGAAGACCCUGCAUCAUUAAAACUCUUUGGCAGGCCACUUUCAUCAAAGUAACCUGUGAAAACUAUGUCUCACUGAUUGUCUUGGAAGGCAGUGACACCACAAAGACUCUGGAUAAGGCCCUGGGCACCAUUGUGCCCCAGGGGAAUGCCCUAGGACUCAGACUCUGGGCUGGUCUUGAGCAGCACUGUAACCCUAUGAAUGACAAUGACUACACUGAGAAAGUGGGAAAGAUCCUACCAUUUAGUGAGACCCUAACAAAACCCUGAAUCCAGUGUGUUUGUGUGGGACUAUCUAAUCACAAUUGAGACUCUACAAAUAGCGUUAAACAUGACUGAGACACUUCAUAAUGCCCUGAGUCAAUCUGAGAUCCUGGUAAUGGCCAUGAGAUCCACUGUGUCCCUUGGCUCGUCCUUUUGUUCUUUGACAACCUGGGGAACAUCCUGAAGCACACUGACAUGCUGGGGCUGUUCAAGAGCUCCCCUGAAAUUUCUGAAGAAAGGAAGGAAAACAUCAAUUUCCUGGGAGAACUUACUGAUCGUGACUGUGAGACUGAAGGAGACCAUGAUAUUCACUGAGACUCUGGGCAAUGUUAUGGAUCAAACUGUAUGUGCCUGAACAGAUAAACUCCAUUUUAAUCUGAGAUUUCAUUUCAUGUAAGAAAUGCUUCCCCUUGAGAAAACUGUGCCACUGCCAUCUCCCGC
rnacentral:lncRNA from 1 species